rnacentral:lncRNA from 1 species
GUCACACUCAAAAGAAGUUUCUAACUGAUCAUCUAGCUGAUCAAUAAUUGAGAAUCGUUCAAGAGCUUAAUUGUCAAUUCGAUUGAUGAUUAACCUUAUGUAAAAGUUACAAUAAAUUUAUUCAUCAAGUGUUAGUAAAUUAAUGAAGAAUUAAUUAGUAAUUAGAUUACUGAUUAGCUUAAUUUGAUUGAGUAAAGAG